CUUUGAACACUACAACCCAGCUACUGUUUGCAGUUCUCUCAAAGAGCGUGUCUGCCAGCUGCGGAAUAUUCACAUUCAUUUCAUUUGUGCACUGUAUUAGAUAGUCCAGGUGCUUCUUCUUGGGGCCCAUCACCUCGUGGGUCGUGGCCUUGCAGACCGCUUUGGCCACGGCCGAGCCGGUGACGCUGUGCUGUGCCGCCGUGAUGCGGUCGGUGAUCGACUGCCCCGACAUCGCGGCGAGGCCGGGCGGCGGGAGCGGCUCCCCGAGGAAGGACGGCGGGGAGGAGUCCUCACCGGCUCCGCGCGCCCCCCAGCCGCGGCCAGGGGCAGGGCCAGAAGCGGGGGCGGUCCGCGGUGAGGCCGGCUGUCCCUCGCUGCGGACUGCGUCCCGGAGGAAAGCGGCCGACUCCGCUGUGCCUCCUGCUGCGGACUGCACGAAGGCUUUCCCUUUCACAUUUCCACUCCCAGACAAAAUGGCGGCGGCGGCGGCAUCAGGUGACCGCGCGCCCGCCCCGCCCCGUACCGGCGGGCUCCGGGCUGUGUGGGGCUGCGACCGCGGGGCGUGAGGUGAGCUGGCCCCGGUCGGGCUGUCCCUGCGGGAAGCUGCUGCGGGGUGAGCUGGGGCUGAGUCAGCAGCGAGACGACCUCUGGCAGAGAAGUGCCGCCCAGGGACAGCCCUGUGGUGUCAAAGCGGUUUUUCCACGGCUUCUUGUGGGGCGAGUUCUCUCCACGCGGUGAGGAGCACCAGUUCGCUGUGCUGUGCUCCGUUUGUCGUUUUCCUGAGAGGAAACAUGCGCACCGCAGCUCGUGCCAAGUGUGGCAGUGAUUUCUGCCAUAGUGUCGCCGUGGCAGCCGGACCAAGACUCCAACCACCCAUCCUCUGGUGGCAAUGGCACCUUGCCAGCAGGCUUGGACGCCAGGCCUGCUCAUUAGGCUCUGUCACUCAGCAGCAGCUCCCUCCAUCCUGCUGUCCCUGCUGCCCUCCUACCACCUCAUUACCUUCCAGCUAACCACCUCGUCAGUAGGACAGAAGUUUGAGCAGUGUGAUGCAAGCGAGCAGAGCUGCCCCAUGCCAGUGGCUCAGUCAUCCUGCUGCUAGGAUUGGGCUCGCCCACACAAGGCAUCUCAGCUUCAUUUUCAAAACAUUCCUCGAGAAGCUGUCUUCUCUCCUUGCCCUCAUAAAUGACAGCAGUUCCUGAAGUAAGAGGAGUGAGAGGAAAACUUCUGCAGAAGCUCUCUGACAGGACUUGCUCCUUUGCCUGUGAGCACACACUUUGUGAAAGCGAGUGUGGGUUUCCAGACCAAAAUGAGGAAUUUCUCUUUCACAACAGAGUCCAAUUGUAUCAAUAACAUGAGGGCACAUUACUCCAAACUGAACAUCACAGGGCAACUGCUUGAGGAAAAAAGAAAAAAUCAAUAUAUGAUGAUAAAGGCACCCAACUCCAGCACAGAAAGGAAAUGCUCAUUUCCAGUAUUCUGAGCUGCUCCUCGUGUCCCUCUAAAUCGCUGUUGUGAUAUUGUCAUUACUCUCCUAGCAUUAUGGUUUCCAAAGACAGUAUUUCCCUGAAUGACAAUGAGGAAGUUUUGCUGCUGCUGUACAAACUGUUAAUUGUUUUUCUGUCAUGCCUUGAGGCCUUGGUGAGGACUCCUUCCAUUGCACUUCGCUCCUAAGAAGAAUUCUGAAGAAGCAUUCCUGCUGCCUCAGGUGCUGCAUUCUCGUUCCCACUGCCCACAGGCAAAAGGGGAUUCAUGUUGGUGUGAAGGUGAAGAAAUCAGUGACACAUCAAUCUGGGAUGUCGGCUAUCUUGAGGUGCACAUCUACGUUUUUGAUGAAAUGCAGAACUUUAUUCUUUAGUAACAGGUGUGUCUGGGUGAAAUUCUAUACCCUUUGAAACAGGUAAGAACAAAGAAGUCUCAGCCACCACCCCCUAGGGUGGAGUUACAAGGUGCAUUCAUCAUCCUCAAUUACAGACAUAUUUGCAGAGGGCUGUGGCAUGACACCAUGAAAGAUGCACAACUAGCUGUUUAAAUCAUUGAAUAGAAACCUAAUUGGGAGGUAUGCAAGUAAGGAGUGAUGGAGUGAUACCUUACCCACCUUUCCUUGGCUUGCCAGUGCUGAGUGCAUCACCAGUUCUGAGGAGACAGGAAGGCAUGAAUGAUUUUAGGGCUGAUAUUUCCCUUGCACCUCACCUAGUGGCUCUGCAGUAUGUGUUUCUGCAGAAGCCAUUCAGACUGGUCUGCUGGUCACUGCACAUGUGCUUGUGGCAGGCUGCAACCAGGAAGACAACACACUUUGCUUUACAUGAAGUAGCUGGCAGCUCCUGAGUUCGCACCAAAUCCAUACCUCUUUAUAAUGCUUCUUGCCUGUCUUUCUUGCCUCAGUCUAAAAACACACAGUUUUUAGUGUGAAAGCUGUACAUGAUACAAUUUUGCUUAUGUUGCUUCAUUAGCAAAUAUUCUGUCCUAGCCACUCUUCCUGUGCCCGUGGACUUAGGUUUACAUUUGUGAGGAUUUAAAACUGGAAGUAUGUCCAUUUUCCAUCUUGAUUCAUGAAUUUUGCGGUCCUUUGUUUACUGCAAGGUGCACAAGGAGGGCUUCUGAAGAAAGGAGACAGGAAACAUAGUCCACAUGUGGCAACAAAGAGGCAGUUUUGGGGAGGUGGUGGUCAGAGUGAUGGGACGUUUCUGGGUGUCUACCAUAGCCAAAUGGCACAUUGUUUUCUGGUAUAAAGAAUAUUUUCAUAAUGAGCAGUGAAUUCAGUCUGGCUGCACCUACAGCCCCAAGAACAAACAGUCUAGAGGUAGGUUUGUCAAUAAAUACCAUCUGCUUAGCAGCAUGGAAUCCAAACUAUUGCAGAAUCCACCUUAAUGGUGGCUGCUGUUUUGCUAGAUAUAGAUGAGAUGAAAAUGUCUACAAAAUACUUUUUUUUUUUUUUUUUUGGAAAUAGUGUGAUUCUGAUCUCAAAAAUAUGACAGGAAGUGUAAUGGGACUUGUUCAAUCUCAGUUUAAGUCUGAGAGAAUGAAAUGAACAGCUGCAGUUAGCUUCUUUCCUGAAGGACAGCAAAGCACCCCACAGACACCUAAGCUGUAAGUGGAGUUGCUUCUCACAGAGAUUUGGACACUGAUGUGUCUGAAAUAUGUCUUGCUUCCACUCCUGCCCACAAGGGAAGGAAAUGCAACUUUGCGAGCAGCAGAAGUAGCAGAGCCUGGUUUCCUCGAUGCUUCCAUGGAGGCUCCCAGCUGGUUUCCUGCCUCAGCAUGCUGACAACCGAUAAGAGGAGAAUUCCUGCUGCAGCCAUUCUCUCUGCAGAGGCACUGGCAAUCCUUGCUGCUUGGCUGCUUGUUUUCCAGUAAUUUCAUAAAAGCAGAGCAUCUGUGGGAUCUUUACGUCUCCGAGGUUCAGUCGAGACUGGCUGUUGGAUUCAAAGGUCCUGAAGAAUCCAAGAGAAAUGAGACAUAAGCAUCAUUUAAAAAUUCUGAAACCAAAAUGAGAACUUUAGCAUGCUAGAUGACUAAUUCUUCCCUGGGCAGAGACGUGUAAGAAAAAACUGUCACACUGUAGUCCAACUUGGAUUUAUGGGUGUGAUAUUCUGCUGAUCUUUUUUAGAGGUCUUCAUUUCCCUCUGUCUGUAUUGUAAAACAUGGAUAAGAGGUUUAGGUACAUAACUGGGAUGGUUAAAUUCUUCCAAAUCUUGCAUAACUGCAAAAUAUCAAAAGAUCAGAUCAAGAAUUUGUCAUAGAAAUUGCCUGGCUGGAACUCGGACUCAUUUUUAUGUCAGUUGUCUUUUGUAGCGAAGGAUCAGGGAGGAUUCCAGGGAAAGACAGACCUGAAUAAGCAACUCUUUAAGACACAAAUUUAAUUAAAAAAAAAAAAUGUGGUGUAAGAUUAAUGAAACAAGGAAGAGGGUGAAGAUGUAAAAAGAAGGUCAUCACUGAGGAGUGCAAUCCACAGCUCAUUGUCUGUGUGGAAGGAUAGCAGUGACGUAGAAAGCGGAAUCGUAAAAGGGGUGGGUGAAAGAGAAAAGUUUGCUGGGCAAGUAAACCAUAAAAGGUCUUUUUUAAUGGAGCAUGCUUACUUUAAUGUAAAUCUGCAGCAGAUCUACUUGCUUCCUGACGUUCCAGAGUUUCACUGACGAUGAAGUUUCUGAGACACACAAAGUUGCAAACAAAUAUGGCCUGAAAAUGGCAACAGAGAAAUUGGUUGGGGUGUAUUUACUCCCAGGAAAGGUAGCGUAGAGCCAGGAGUGCCAGGAGAAAAGCGCAGUGAAGUGUAUUUCUUGAAAAUACAAGGGAGAACAGUUUCAACGCCUCAUGUAAGUGUGUUUCUCUGAAGUCCAAAGAAGAGCUGCUUUCAGAUUCCAAAGCUAAAGCUUGCCUUCGCUGAAAAGCUUGACAUCAGGAGUCAUGGCUACACAGCAAUAAGCCAUGCCGAGGGCAGUUUGGAGAUUUUUAAGAGGACACCUGUGCCACCCCAGCCUGCUCCAGCACUCAGAAUGGCCCCAAUGCCUGCAGGGAAAUUCAUCUGUGCUCACUGUUCAAAGCAAGCCCUCCUAUGCUAAAUCCUCUUUGAUCCUCCAGGACAAUGAAGAGACCCUGAGCUGUAAUCAAGCUUGCUUUAGGGCUGGUUUUAGACCCCACAAGAUGUCCAGAACUGGACACAAUCCAUAGGGCCUUUAAGCCCCUUUUCAGAGUGCUCCAGAAAUAUGAACUCUGUGCUCAGCAAUGUCUGAUCGGUAUAAGCCACUCUCAUCUUCUGUCACAUGAGGGCAAGUCACACUUCCUCUGCCUCUUCCUUCCCAGAGUUCCUGUGGACACCAGUGGAAUGGGGAAGCAUUGGUGCUUGGAGCUGGGAGCCCUUCUCCCCAGGCAGUCUCCAACUUCUGCCUUCCAAGCUGCCACUGAGGGGUGAUCUUUUAAACUGCUGACUUAGAAUAGAAAAAGGAGAAAAGAAAGAAGAAAAAGGAAAACAAGAAACAAUUUGGAGCUAUGCCCUUUGUCUUCUCUCCUUGAAAAUACAAAUUAGUACUUUUUGUUUGUUUGUUUGUUUUAAAGAUAAAUAAGAAUAAAUGUUACAAUAUGAAGUAAAUGCUGUUAUAUAUGUUUUUUGUUUGUUUGUUUGUUUUUUACAUCAUGUUCCAGUUUGGUCAGUUACAUUAUGAGUUUAAUAAUGGCUCAUCAGUUCGGAAAAGCAGAAGCUGAUCUAGGAAUCUCCCACAAGUUCAGGAUCUGAUGUUUAGGCUCAAGUCUUGGUGUAAUGGCAGAGUCUGGAGCUCUGCCUCAGAUUUGGGGCUCUCUUGGGGAUUAGCU
rnacentral:lncRNA from 1 species